UACGUAGGGUGCGAGCGUUAAUCGGAAUUACUGGGCGUAAAGCGUGCGCAGGCGGUUUUGUAAGUCAGAUGUGAAAUCCCCGGGCUUAACCUGGGAACUGCGUUUGAAACUACAAGGCUAGAGUGUGACAGAGGGGGUGGAAUUCCACGUGUAGCAGUGAAAUGCGUAGAGAUGUGGAGGAACACCGAUGGCGAAGGCAGCCCCUGGGUUAACACUGACGCUCAGGCACGAAAGCGUGGGGAGCAAACAGG
rnacentral:rRNA from 1 species